GACAAACGCUGGCGGGGUGCGUGAGACAUGCAAGUCGAACGAGGUGCCAUCGGGCUUGCUCGAUGGCUACCUCGUGGCGGACGGCUGAGUAACGCGUAGGUGACCUACCCGGAAGUGGGGAAUAACUGCCCGAAAGGGUGGCUAAUACCGCAUACGGUCGACGAUUCGUUUCGUCGUCCAAAGGAGUAAUCCGCUUCCGGCGGGGCCUGCGUCCGAUUAGCUAGUUGGUGGGGUAACGGCUCACCAAGGCGACGAUCGGUAGCUGGUCUGAGGAGGAUGAUCAGCC
rnacentral:rRNA from 1 species